rnacentral:misc_RNA from 1 species
UAAAUUGCUAUCCCUACUCCAAAUCAGUGUGGUCAUAAGCAUCCUAAAUAAUUGACCAUGAUUUAAAGCUAUAGGGUAAACAACAAUUUAAGAAAUUAUCAGAGAAGAACAGAAAUGAAAGAGCUUCUGAGCAAGUUUACAGAGAAGGAAACCGUUAUUCCAUGACUGAAUGGAUCAGCAGAGGAUCAGAAUAGUGGGGGUGGGGGUCCACCAGGACCAGG